CCCCUCCCUGCGCCCUGUGGGAAGUAGUAGUCAUAACAACAACCUCCAGCUGUUAUCAUCCAGAGAUGUCCAAGCGCUUUACAAAGGAGGAUUUUCAUCACUAGCCUUGCAGCUUCCACAGGGAACCUGCCGUUUCAAAUCCACGACCAGUCACCAGUUCACUCCCAGCAUGAGCCCAGUUUCACUGGCCGGUUCUGCAGGGUUGAUUGCAUUGACAGAGUUGUGCAAAGCAGCUGGAAUAUACCUGUAAGUCUGGUCCCCUCUCGUUACCUGAUGACUUUAAAUGAUGCCACCAAAAACAUGCAGGUAUUUGCAUGGCCCAGACUUCGGGGCGACUAGAUACCGAUUACUUAAAAACGUGUUGAAGUUAAACGGCUGCUGAACUAUUGAAUCGACAUAAAGCCCCAGGCGAUGUGGUUUUAAUAAUCUGCUGGCUUUCAAGUAACAUGCAAUAAUCGUCCCAUUAACAUCCACGUGAAACACACAUCCGAGGCCCUGUGCUCAUUGAGAGAGGAGCCCAUGAUUUGCCAGGGGCCUGUAACUCCCUCAGGAUGGUACCGAUUCCCUUCCCAAGCUAAGCCUCAUAAACUUCUAUUGCCUCCAGCGCCUAUGGCUGCAUUCGAAGACUCUCCUCUUGAACACGGCACCAAGCUGGUUGGGGGCUUGGACGCCACCCACGUGGUUCUCAGACUGUCUUUCUUUGAUGGUUAAAAGGGAUUGUGGAGCGAGACCAACUGAAUUCAAUCCUGACCGACUGUUUCUAAGCGAAACAAGCUCCCUGGAUAUUCUGAGGGCUUCAGCCUCAGAGCGGGGGCCAGCAUCUUAGCAUGACCCAAUGGAGUCUGGGAAACUGGAGCCUGAUCUGCACUAGAGAAAUGUGGAGGCUCCAGCACGGCACUGGGGAGCACAGGCCACGGGCUGCACACGGGUGGGAGAUCACGGUGCAGCUCCACCCUGGAACACGGACUCAGCGGUGAGGCUGCACCCAACCCUGACACAGCACAAGGACCGGGCCUGCCCCAGAAACACCACAGGGCCCUGCCCCUCCAUGCCAGGUGCACCAGGGUAGAUGGACCCUGGGACGCUCCGCUGAGCUGUGGGCUUUGCAUCAGGCUGUAAGUAAUGCAGCCAAAUACGCCCCCUGCUGGCGGACCAGAGAGCAGCAGAUCUCUUAUUGCACUGCAGGUAUACAGGGAUCUAAGGAAACUCCUGAUGUGACAAGGGCAACUCACUUCCAGCAUGCGGAUGUCAUUGUGGACUGUCCGGGCGUUGAAGUGCGGGUGCAUGACGGAUUCCCGGAGGCUGAAGAUCUGCUGAGAG